UUGGCGACCGGCGCACGGGUGCGUAACGCGUAUGUAACCUACCUAUAACAGGGGCAUAACACUGAGAAAUUGGUACUAAUUCCCCAUAAUAUUCGGAGAGGCAUCUCUCCGGGUUGAAAACUCCGGUGGUUAUAGAUGGACAUGCGUUGUAUUAGCUAGUUGGUGAGGUAACGGCUCACCAAGGCAACGAUACAUAGGGGGACUGAGAGGUUAACCCCCCACACUGGUACUGAGACACGGACCAGACUCCUACGGGAGGCAGCAAUG
rnacentral:rRNA from 1 species